rnacentral:rRNA from 1 species
GACGAACGCUGGCGGCGUGCUUAACACAUGCAAGUCGAGCGGAAAGGCCCUUUCGGGGGUACUCGAGCGGCGAACGGGUGAGUAACACGUGAGUAAUCUGCCCCUCACUCUGGGAUAACU